CCCUUAGAUGUCCUGGGCCGCACGCGCGUUACACUGAUGCAUUCAACGAGCCUAUAACCUUGGCCGAGAGGCCUGGGCAAUCUUGUUAACGUGCAUCGCGAUAGGGAUAGAUUAUUGAAAUUAUUAAUCUUGAACGAGGAAUUCCUAGUAAACGCAGAUCAUCAAUCUGCAUUGAUUACGUCCCUGCCCUUUGUACACACCGCCCGUCGCACCUACCGAUUGGAUGGUCCGGUGAAGCCUCGGGAUUGUGGUUCUUGCCGCUUUAUUGUGGCGUGACCGCGAGAACUUGUCUAAACCUUAUCAUCUAGAGGAAGGUGAAGUCGUAACA
rnacentral:rRNA from 1 species